rnacentral:rRNA from 1 species
UACAGAGGUCUCAAGCGUUGUUCGGAUUCAUUGGGCGUAAAGGGUGCGUAGGCGGCGCGGUAAGUCGGGUGUGAAAUCUCGGAGCUUAACUCCGAAACUGCAUUCGAUACUGCCGUGCUUGAGGACUGGAGAGGAGACUGGAAUUUACGGUGUAGCGGUGAAAUGCGUAGAUAUCGUAAGGAAGACCAGUGGCGAAGGCGGGUCUCUGGGCCUUGCCUGACGCUGAGGAGCGAAGGUCAGGGGAGCAAACGGG